GAUGAACGUUGGCGGCGUGCUUAACACAUGCAAGUCGAGCGAUGAAGUUUCCUUCGGGAAACGGAUUAGCGGCGGACGGGUGAGUAACACGUGGGUAACCUGCCUCAUAGAGUGGAAUAGCCUUCCGAAAGGAAGAUUAAUACCGCAUAACGUUGAAAGAUGGCAUCGUCAUUCAACCAAAGGAGCAAUCCGCUAUGAGAUGGACCCGCGGCGCAUUAGCUAGUUGGUGGGGUAACGGCCUACCAAGGCGACGAUGCGUAGCCGACCUGAGAGGGUGAUCGGCCACAUUGGGACUGAGACACGGCCCAGACUCCUACGGGAGGCAGCAGUGGGGAAUAUUGCACAAUGGGGGAAACCCUGAUGCAGCAACGCCGCGUGAGUGAUGAAGGUUUUCGGAUCGUAAAGCUCUGUCUUUGGGGAAGAUAAUGACGGUACCCAAGGAGGAAGCCACGGCUAACUACGUGCCAGCAGCCGCCGUAAUAC
rnacentral:rRNA from 1 species